CUACGGAGGGGGUUAGCGUUGUUCGGAAUUACUGGGCGUAAAGCGUACGUAGGCGGAUUAGUAAGUUAGGGGUGAAAUCCCGAGGCUCAACCUCGGAACUGCCUCUAAAACUGGUAGUCUUGAGUUCGAGAGAGGUGAGUGGAAUUCAUAGUGUAGAGGUGAAAUUCGUAGAUAUUAGGAGGAACACCAGUGGCGAAGGCGGCUCACUGGCUCGAUACUGACGCUGAGGUACGAAAGUGUGGGGAGCAAACAGGAUUAGAUACCCUAGUAGUCC
rnacentral:rRNA from 1 species